AUCAGCGCAGGGGAUAGGGGUGGGAUGGGGUGGGAUGGGGAUGGUCGAGGGUAACAUUUACUGGUGUGACAGUUAAAUAAGUAAUACAAAAAAAAAACAUUCGUCCAAGCGGAAAAGAAAUAUGUGACACCAUCACUGGGAACUGUUGCUGAGGAUUGUCGACUCUCAUCUUCAAAUGAACACGAUUCUGCCUGAUUCUGUUUUUGCACUUAAUUACUCAAGGAUUGAAUUAGCAAGGACCAGGAUUUUUCUCUCUUUUCAAUUAUGAUUCCACAGGAUUUUACAAAGAAAACAGCAGGAUGUGCAAAACCAUCUGACUGUGGGGCCCUGUGUUUGGCCCCGGCCUCUCCUGCUGUUCUGUGAUGGUUCUCCGUGCCAGCGUCUGCUGUGGUCACAUGGAAGUGAUCUGCAACACCAUAGGCUAUUGGUUUCUCUAUGAUAGCCAUGCUCUCUAUUUCGAGGUUUCUAACAACAAUUGAAUUUGGACCUAAACUGAUGUGAUUCGACAAAAUAGAACAAAACAAUGAAAUAAAGUGGUCUAAAGAAUUUUUGAUCCACAAGUCUGAGGAAAGCUAGAGUCACUCUGCAAAAUUACUACAAAUUAGGCGAAUGGUGAUGGUUUAUGUGUCCUUACAUCUAUAGUCAAUAAAAGCCAAUAUCGGUGGGCAACUAAUUAUUUAUCCCUGGCUGAAAGCUUAAAAACAGGAUACAAUAACUAGAGAGCAUAUCCCUCUGGAGACCAUCCCAAGGACUGGAAUGAGAAGACACACAAGGACAUUUCAAGUUGGAUUCACAAACAGAAAUCUCACUACAGAUGGAAUUCUGUUUCCCCAGAUCUGACCUGUAAUGGCCACUGCUUCACUCUGAGGCACACACUAAAUCAUGGAGAGAGAGAGAACAAACCCUGAUCCCCUACAUUCAAACUACAUACACAAGGUUUUGCAUGACACUCUGUUGUUAUGUAGACAUGGGUCUUUUUCUGAGAAGCCUGCAACACCCAGGGCAGCCAAACAUCCAUCUUAAAUGAUUAGGGGUGGAUUCACCAUGUCCCAAAUAUCCAAAUCAAUAUUCGAUAUGUAAACUCCCAGUUAUAUCCAAAUGCAGACUACACCCUAUAUGAAACAACUCAAACUCAGAUGAUUAUGAAUAAUUCCGCAAAUCAAGAUACUCUCUACAAGUACUCUUUUCCCACGACACAGGACUGAGUUAUCCAAUAGUUAUCCUUGUCGCAUGACUGUGUAUGUUUGGGGCGGGAAAAUGUUAAAUGUGUGAUUGGGUUUAAUAACAAAUGUCCAAGGUAGAAUAAGCUUCGCAAAUGACAACAAAUAUACGCUUUAUUAACAGCAUACAUGUGGAUUUUCAUUAAUUCAUUCAAUUUAUUAGAUGCAUUUUUUUGGUCGGGUUAUUAGCUGACUAGGGGGAGGUCCGGGAUAAAAUAGCUUCCUUGUGAAACUAACCGCUUCAGUCAGUCAUAACCUUGUGUGAGAAAUUAAGAUCUCCACACUGUCAAAUUCUGUCAGCCUCAAUGCAAUAUCCCUCAGUGAAACACACAGGCACACACACACACACACAGCUCAGCAGUCAAUUUGCUGGAGUCCCUGAACACAAAGCAAAGCGGCCCGUCCUGCUUUGCAGAUCACUGCGCAAUCAUCUCCACCAAACUGCACUCAGCCCAGCCUAGCCCAGCCCAGCCCAGCCCAGCCCAGCCCAGCCCAGCCCAGCCCAGACCAGACCAGACCAGACCACUGAGGAGCAGUUGGAGGCUGGAGGCCCAUAGUUCCUGGGAGUAGGAAGGCUACUGGAACAUGAGGGAUCACUCAUAUAAAGCUAUAUAUCAGCUUGGCAUAUAUCAGCGAAGUCUAUCUGGUAGUCAGCUGAUGGACACAGAUUUGGAGAGAGGCUGCAGAGACAACAUGGCAGCAUGUCCUCAUAUUUCAAGAUCCAUGGAAAAGUAAUUUCCUACGGUCCAUCUUUCACUGGCUAUCUGCCCUGUCUGAUGCUGGACAGUAUGUCAAAUUGAAAAGGGGGGUAACGUCAUCUUCUACUCAGAUCUGGGAUGCCGUUUUGGAGCUGAGGGUUGUAACCGACAGUGAGGGGAAAUAAGUGUUGUGAUUUCUUGACAUGUUGAAAACCUCUUGGCUCUGCGAGAGACAGAGAUGGUCACGGUCAUUCUCUACCUUAAAGUAGUUAAAUGUUGCUUGAACAGCAAAAUAAAUCUGUGUUGGUCCUUGCCAUGAAAUAAGUUGGUAGUUAUCUGGAGAUCAGCGUAUGCCCUCUUCAGAGCAGUAAUAACAAAGUCAAGUUUGAACUUUUAUUUUGAAGUCUCGUGUUUUUGUCUCAACGUCUUUGGAGUUUGUGUCAAUUAAAAGAGUUCUUGGCUCAGUUGCUUGAAGGAAAGAUUACAGGAGAAAAAAAAAGGAUAAAUAGCAAAUUUUGAACAAGUACGUCUUUGUCUACAACCCUAAUAUUUGUCGAGGUCUUAAGUCCAUGUUGAAAAUCUUUCCUUUUGUUUUCUCAUCUGACGUAUGUUACAUGUGAUACUGUGUUUAACCCAAUCAGUGUUUUCAAGUGGAGCAGAUAGCAGAACCUUACAGAGUGUAAUAAACAUUGCUCAUCCUGUCUCAA